AUGGCGGCGUCAUGGUGGGCUCUGGUGCGAAGUGCCGCCGUCUUCACGGCCUGGGGCGGGAGGUUUCCCCGUCGCAGGCCUUGGAGCGUGUCACAGUGUUUAUAAUCCGCGUGUGCGACCGUGUUGGUGAGAACAAAGAAAAUGGGAAGAAAAAGCCAUGUGCGCAGGAGCUUGCUCGGUGUCAUCCCGGCUGAUCGGCUGCUGGCGGAGAGCAGUGUCUGAGCUGCAUCGAGGAAAGAGUCUGUCCUAGGAAUGAGCAGAGACCGAGAGCCAUGGCUUGGAUCCGGUCCCAGCCAAGUUACUGCAUUGCUGUGUGGCCCUGGCCAUGGUCCAUGUCCCGGAGUCCAUUCAUUUGCUGUUUUGACCAGCAGCAGCUCUCUGAGGCAUCUUCACUCUUUCGGCAGAGAUGAGCUUCUGGCCAGAGUGU